rnacentral:tRNA from 1 species
ACUAUUUAUAUAGUUUAAAAAAACAAUACAUUUUCAUUGUAUAAUUAAAUCACUUUUGUAA